rnacentral:lncRNA from 1 species
AAUGCCAAAACUUAGCAUAUUAGCAUUUCUAUUCACAUUUGAAUAUAUAAUAUAUUAGGAUUAUUAUAUUUUUAUGAGUAUAAAUUUUUUUAUAUUUGUAAGUUUUCGGUCAUCGGAUGAAGAGAUGUACAGUUAAAAUAAUAGUAAUUUCUAGUCAAAAUGAUAGUGGUUCCCUAGCUGUGAAAGUAUUUUUAAAAUUUUUUCAUAUUUUUGGAGGGUAAAGUUUACGAAAUUAGAGCAAUUUGGGAUAGCAAGGA